GUUCACCACAUUUAUAGUGCUUUUUUUUUGGUGCCUGGCUGACAUAUAAAAUCACCAUCCACUUUCAACAGCAGCUCAGAUGUUCUGCAAAAAUUUUCCUUGUGUUCCCCAAAAGAAAAAAGGUUCACACACACACACCAGGAGGGAUCUGAAGCCCACGCGACACAGACACCUCAACCGAAUGUAAAACAAACACUCUCGAUUUCACUCUUCAAAAAGACGUUCACCACCUUCAAAGCUUUACGACGAAAGCGGAGCGGAACGCUCCAAAACACAGGCAACAAACAACUCGUUUAUACAUUCUCCUAAUUCCUCUCCGACGGGCCUCGAUGUCUUUCUUCAGCAACAGACUGUUGGGGAUCACGGCUUCAACGUUGCAGUUUUAAGACUCAGCCGUCUCCCCUCCCCGCUCCUCCGUAUCUCUGUGAUAAACGCCGGAGCAAAUUCAAAGCCAAACAAACACGGAUUCAAAGAAAGAUUUUUGUGGCAACUUAAGGAAAGCGCAUGUUCGUGACAACGUGUCGCCGGGGAGUUUGUUCAGUCGGUGCUCGCUCAGAUAGACCCUGGCUGCUCAUCCUGAGCAGGGAAGUGCAUUUGCUUGAUUAUCAUUAAAAAAAGAGAGAUGAUGUCUUCAGAAGUCAGAGGGGAUAUUUAUCAGCCUCGCAGUUGGAGACGUGAUGGCGUGUCUCUUCUAAUAGAACAGCCUCAAGGCUCUGGGCCUGUGUGCGCAGGCUUUCCAUCUGUAGCACCUGAGGAAGAGGACGGGAACGCCGAGCUGUCAGGAGAGAUGAGCUCACGCUCUCUGCGGCAGGCUGUCAAAUGCGACACAUCCUCUUCAAGAGCAGACACAAGAGCAAACUUCCGCUAUACUCCUCGAUCUUUGUCUCUUUCUCUAUCUGUUACGUUAUCUUUCUUUCUUUAUCUGUUCUUCUCCUUUACACUUUCUAUUUGA
ensembl:lncRNA